UACAGAGGUCUCAAGCGUUGUUCGGAUUCAUUGGGCGUAAAGGGCGCGUAGGCGGCGAGGUAAGUCGGGUGUGAAAUCUCAGAGCUCAACUCUGAAACUGCACUCGAUACUGCUUUGCUCGAGGACUGGAGAGGAGAUUGGAAUUCACGGUGUAGCAGUGAAAUGCGUAGAUAUCGUGAGGAAGACCAGUGGCGAAGGCGGAUCUCUGGACAGUUCCUGACGCUGAGGCGCGAAGGCCAGGGGAGCAAACGGG
rnacentral:rRNA from 1 species